GACAGUGGCAAUAGCGCGUUGAAUGCACCAGUUCCCUAUGGAUCACUGAAAUUAAGCAACGUUCCGCAUGGUUAGUAUCCGGAUGGGUGAUCUGGGCAAUCGCGUGCUGCGGACU
rnacentral:rRNA from 1 species